rnacentral:ribozyme from 1 species
GCAGGAAGGAAAAAAAAAAAAAAAAAGAACGCGAAAGGAAAGCAAAGGAAGAGACGGGGCGAUACACACACUUCUUCUGGUCUUUUUGAUCGUUCCCUUCUACUUUCUCAUUAGAGCUCUCCGUUGCUUUUGCCUUCUCUUCCUUCAUUUCCUUCAUUU